GUCCCUGUCCUGGGAGUGUUUAACGGGGACGGUGUGUGGAAAUUGUGCCGAGCAAUAUUUACUUUUGAUUUCACUGCUCUGGCUCCUGUCCUGGGGAUGUUUUGUGAUUACUUUGGAUGCUGUUGUGUGAACUUUCUCUCCGACACCGUGAUCCCUUUCUGUGAUAAAGCGGAUCGGUCUAGACACAUCCCGAAUGUUUGAUAAAGGAUAUCAACAAGUGGAGGAGUGUGUUCAGGAAUGUAAAUGGGUCCUGGAUUUGAUCAUUGUCGAUGAGUUAACAGUCACUGCCUGAGCAUUACGACGGGCAAGACACUGUUUCCUUCCCAGUGAUGCCCAUACUUCCCAUUUGAAGAAAUUAAAGAUGAAGCCAGAUGCUGGACAGAUUCGAUCUUCAUUCCCCAGUUUUCAUGUCAUCAACGGUCACUACCUUGUGUGUCUCUCCGGUGAACUAUGAGCUGCCAUCCAGCACUAUUAUCCCACUGAACCAUGUAGAGAGCACUG